rnacentral:rRNA from 1 species
UGGGCAAUCUGCCCUUCACUCUGGGACAAGCCCUGGAAACGGGGUCUAAUACCGGAUAACACUCUGUCCCGCAUGGGGCGGGGUUAAAAGCUCCGGCGGUGAAGGAUGAGCCCGCGGCCUAUCAGCUUGUUGGUGGGGUAAUGGCCUACCAAGGCGACGACGGGUAGCCGGCCUGAGAGGGCGACCGGCCACACUGGGACUGAGACACGGCCCAGACUCCUACGGGAGGCAG